UACGGAGGGUGCGAGCGUUGUCCGGAAUCACUGGGCGUAAAGGGCGCGUAGGCGGCCUGAUAAGUAGGGGGUGAAAUCCUGCGGCUUAACCGCAGGGCUGCCUUCUAAACUGUCGGGCUCGAGCACAGUAGAGGCAGGUGGAAUUCCCGGUGUAGCGGUGGAAUGCGCAGAUAUCGGGAGGAACACCAAUGGCGAAGGCAGCUCGCUGGGACGGUACUGACGCUGAGGCGCGAAAGCUAGGGGAGCAAACGGG
rnacentral:rRNA from 1 species